rnacentral:rRNA from 1 species
CAGAAGAGGACAGUGGAACUCCAUGUGUAGCGGUGAAAUGCGUAGAUAUAUGGAAGAACACCAGUGGCGAAGGCGGCUGUCUGGUCUGUAACUGACGCUGAGGCUCGAAAGUAUGGGUAGCAAACAGGAUUAGAUACCCUGGUAGUCCAUACCGUAAACGAUGAAUGCUAAGUGUUGGAGGGUUUCCGCCCUUCAGUGCUGCAGCUAACGCAUUAAGCAUUCCGCCUGGGGAGUACGGCCGCAAGGCUGAAGCUCAAAGGAAUUGACGGGGGCCCGCACAAGCGGUGGAGCAUGUGGUUUAAUUCGAAGCUACGCGAAGAACCUUACCAGGUCUUGACAUACUAUGCAAAUCUAAGAGAUUAGACGUUCCCUUCGGGGACAUGGAUACAGGUGGUGCAUGGUUGUCGUCAGCUCGUGUCGUGAGAUGUUGGGUUAAGUCCCGCAACGAGCGCAACCCUUAUUAUCAGUUGCCAGCAUUAAGUUGGGCACUCUGGUGAGACUGCCGGUGACAAACCGGAGGAAGGUGGGGAUGACGUCAAAUCAUCAUGCCCCUUAUGACCUGGGCUACACACGUGCUACAAUGGAUGGUACAACGAGUUGCGAACUCGCGAGAGUAAGCUAAUCUCUUAAAGCCAUUCUCAGUUCGGAUUGUAGGCUGCAACUCGCCUACAUGAAGUCGGAAUCGCUAGUAAUCGCGGAUCAGCAUGCCGCGGUGAAUACGUUCCCGGGCCUUGUACACACCGCCCGUCACACCAUGAGAGUUUGUAACACCCAAAGUCGGUGGGGUAACCUUUUAGGAACCAGCCGCCUAAGGUGGGACAGAUGAUUAGGGUGAAGUCGUAACAAGGUAGCCGUA